rnacentral:rRNA from 1 species
GGAUGGAACGACGUAGCGGCAGGCCUAACACAUGCAAGUCGAGGGGCAUCGCGGUGCAGCAAUGCACUGGCGGCGACCGGCGUACGGGUGCGUAACGCGUAUGCAACCUGCCCCGCACCGGGGGAUAGCCCGCCGAAAGGCGGAUUAAUACCCCAUGGUCCCGGGGGCCCGCAUGGGCAUCCGGGUAAAGCCUUGGCGGUGCGGGAUGGGCAUGCGUGCCAUUAGCUGGCUGGUGGGGUAACGGCCCACCAGGGCAACGAUGGCUAGGGGGUCUGAGAGGAUGGUCCCCCACACUGGUACUGAGACACGGACCAGACUCCUACGGGAGGCAGCAGUGAGGAAUAUUGGUCAAUGGGCGGAAGCCUGAACCAGCCAUGCCGCGUGCGGGAUGAAGGCCCUACGGGUUGUAAACCGCUUUUCCCCGGGAAGAAUAACCCCGAUGAGUCGGGGGAUGCCGGUACCGGGGGAAUAAGGAUCGGCUAACUCCGUG